UACGGGGGGGGCAAGCGUUGUUCGGAAUUACUGGGCGUAAAGGGCUCGUAGGUGGCCAACUAAGUCAGACGUGAAAAUCCCUCAGCUUAACUGGGGAACUGCGUCUGAUACUGGAUGGCUUGAGUUUGGGAGAGGGAUGCGGAAUUCCAGGUGUAGCGGUGAAAUGCGUAGAUAUCUGGAGGAACACCGGUGGCGAAGGCGGCAUCCUGGACCAAUACUGACACUGAGGAGCGAA
rnacentral:rRNA from 1 species